rnacentral:lncRNA from 1 species
AGCCAGACAUCCACUCAUCAUUCAUUCCAUCUUCCCAUUAAUAAACUUCUCCCACAUCACAUCACCAGGGAAGCUUUCCAUUGUUUAGUCCUUAUUUCCAUGGUUUCCUCCAUCGUUCCACUAACUUUCCAUUAAAAUAUUCCCACUUACCUUCUUCUCUUCAUUCCCACCAUUAAAAUACUCCUUCCCCACUUCCAUAUCCUUUCUUCAUCCAAUAUAAUUUUCAGUCUUCUCCUUUCCACAAGAUUCCUCCAUAGAAGUCCCAAACUUUGUCAUUUGAGCCGUUAACUCAUGUGAGUUUUAUAAAUAAGUGUGCUUAUUAUGUGAUUACUCAUGUAUUAGCAUAUAUUAGCAUUUGUGG